GUAUAGAACCUACCUUAUAUUGGGGGAUAGCCCAGAGAAAUUUGGAUUAAUACCCCAUAGUAUGCUGAAGUGGCAUCACUUUAGUAUUAAAGAUUUAUCGAUAUAAGAUGGCUAUGCGUUCUAUUAGCUAGUUGGUAUGGUAACGGCAUACCAAGGCUACGAUAGAUAGGGGUCCUGAGAGGGAGAUCCCCCACACUGGUACUGAGACACGGACCAGACUCCUACGGGAGGCAGCAGUGAGGAAUAUUGGACAAUGGAGGCAACUCUGAUCCAGCCAUGCCGCGUGUAGGAAGACUGCCCUAUGGGUUGUAAACUACUUUUAUAGAGGAAGAAACCGCACUACGUGUAGAGCUCUGACGGUACUCUACGAAUAAGGAUCGGCUAACUCCGUGCCAGCAGCCGCGGUAAUACGGAGGAUCCAAGCGUUAUCCGGAAUCAUUGGGUUUAAAGGGUCCGUAGCGGGUUUGUAAGUCAGUGGUGAAAGUUUUCG
rnacentral:rRNA from 1 species